rnacentral:rRNA from 1 species
AGACGUCUACAUUAGAUACCCCCGUAGUCCCAGCCGUAAACUAUGCGCGUUAGGUGUAUCGGUGACCACGAGUCACCGAGGUGCCGAAGGGAAACCGUGAAACGUGCCGCCUGGGAAGUACGGUCGCAAGGCUGAAACUUAAAGGAAUUGGCGGGGGAGCACCACAACAGGUGGAGCCUGCGGUUUAAUUGGACUCAACGCCGGGAAGCUCACCAGAUAAGACAGCGGAAUGAUUGCCGGGCUGAAGACUCUGCAUGACUAGCUG